AUCAACUGAACCAAAGAAAAAGAAAGGAUGAACUCACUGUAGAGCUGAAAUCGCAAAACAAGAAACCAACAAUCAGGCUAGGACCGAAAAUUGAAAUCGGCAAAUAGGAACUCAACUCUAACUUUGGCGGACAGUGACAAGCUCAACCCAACCUCAGCUUAGACUCCAUUUUUGAGGCAAAAUUCAGAUUUGAAAUGAAGAAGCCGAAUAUAUUUUCUUUUUAUAUUUUUGAAAUCCGGAUCUUAUUAACUUAGGAACAGAUUUUUGUUUUGUUUUCAUAUGGUUUUCUCGGUUCAGCAAGUACGUCUGUGCGUGUCUUGUGGUUAGAUUUGGGUGAUGUGGAGGUGAGGCUGGCGAGCAUCUGGUGGCUAUGGGAAGGUGGUUGGCUGGUGGGCAGCAGUGGUGUGUGAGAUGAAGGGACUAGCGACGAUUUUGGCGUUUCUCCGAUAAGUGUUCUAAGAUGGAUCUGUUUGGCGUGAAGUUCAGGUACUGCUGAUUCUUUUCAUGUUGAAGAAGAAUCUUGGGUGGUCGUUGAUGACAUUAGGCUAGUCGACGGCGUGGAGAGGGGAUGGUGAAGAAGCAUAAGCAGAUGGAGUAUCGGGUUGAUGGUCGCUGGUUGUUAUUCGACGACUGUAGGGUGUGAGGUCGUUUGUGGGAUGGGGCUGGCAGUGUAAGGUCGUUGGCUGGUGUUAAAAAGGACAGGGGUUGUUUGGUGUAUGAGGGCUGUC
rnacentral:lncRNA from 1 species